GAGACCCAUCUUUUAGCUAGCCGAACUAUUGGUCCAUAUAUAGGAUAACGACCCCUUAAAGCAUUGAUCUUGCUCGCAUGUUGGUGUUGCAGAAGAAGUUUUCUGUCAGCAGAGAGGCUCCAUUGAUGUCGACUGUUAUUACUUUGCCCAGUCACCAGACCAAGAGCCCUUUCAUGAGAAAUUUUAAGGCGGAAUGCAUAGCCAGACAUUAGAACAUCUACA
rnacentral:misc_RNA from 1 species